rnacentral:ncRNA from 1 species
AACCGCCGUGUACCGAACGGUACGCACGGUGGUGUGAGAGGUCGGCUAGUCAACUAAUGACUAGCCUCCUACUCGAU